GAGGGAAACAGCUCAGAGGGAGAGCACAUGCUUAGUGUGCACGAGGUCCUGGGUUCAAUCCCCAGCACCUUUA
rnacentral:tRNA from 1 species